CCAUACUCCUACGGGAGGCAGCAGUGGGGAAUAUUGGGCAAUGGGCGCAAGCCUGACCCAGCAACGCCGCGUGAAGGAAGAAGGCUUUCGGGUUGUAAACUUCUUUUGUCAGGGACGAAGCAAGUGGCGGUACCUGACGAAUAAGCCACGGCUAACUACGUGCCAGCAGCCGCGGGAAUACGUAGGUGGCAAGCGUUAUCCGGAUUUACUGGGUGUAAAGGGCGUGUAGGCGGGACUGCAAGUCAGAUGUGAAAACCACGGGCUCAACCUGUGGCCUGCAUUUGAAACUGUAGUUCUUGAGUACUGGAGAGGCAGACGGAAUUCCUAGUGUAGCGGUGAAAUGCGUAGAUAUUAGGAGGAACACCAGUGGCGAAGGCGGUCUGCUGGACAGCAACUGACGCUGAGGCGCGAAAGCGUGGGGAGCAAACAGGAUUAGAUACCCUCGUAUC
rnacentral:rRNA from 1 species